rnacentral:rRNA from 1 species
UCGUGUCGUGAGAUGUUGGGUUAAGUCCCGCAACGAGCGCAACCCUCACCUCUUGUUGCCAACAGGUCAUGCUGGGCACUCUAGAGGAACUGCCCCGGUCAACGGGGAGGAAGGCGGGGAUGACGUCAAGUCAUCAUGCCCCUUACGUCCUGGGCUACACACGUGCUACAAUGGCCAGUACAAAGGGAUGCGAGACCGCGAGGUGGAGCUAAUCCCAAAAAGCUGGUCUAAGUUCAGAUUGCAGUCUGCAACUCGACUCUAUGAAGGAGGAAUCGCUAGUAAUCGC